CACGUAGUUAGCCGUCCCUUUCUGGUAAGUUACCGUCACAGUGUGAACUUUCCACUCUCACACUCGUUCUUCUCUUACAACAGAGCUUUACGAUCCGAAAACCUUCUUCACUCACGCGGCGUUGCUCGGUCAGACUUCCGUCCAUUGCCGAAGAUUCCCUACUGCUGCCUCCCGUAGGAGUCUGGGCCGUGUCUCAGUCCCAGUGUGGCCGAUCACCCUCUCAGGUCGGCUAUGUAUCGUCGCCUUGGUGAGCCGUUACCUCACCAACUAGCUAAUACAACGCAGGUCCAUCUCUUAGUGAUGCAAUUGCACCUUUCAAGUCAACAUCAUGCGAUAUCGACUUUUAUGCGGUAUUAGCUAUCGUUUCCAAUAGUUAUCCCCCGCUAAGAGGCAGGUUACCUACGCGUUACUCACCCGUUCGCAACUCAUCCGCUCGGUGCAAGCACCAAGCUUCAGCGUUCUACUUGCAUGUAUUAGGCACGCCGCAGCGUU
rnacentral:rRNA from 1 species